UGGGCGACUCUAAAGGGACGUGCCGGUGUUAAACCGGAGGAAGGUGGGGAUGACGUCAAGUCCUCAUGGCCUUUAUGACCAGGGCUACACACGUACUACAAUGGCCGAUACAAAGGGCAGCGACACUGCGAGGUGAAGCCAAUCCCGUAAAAUCGGUCUCAGUCCGGAUUGGAGUCUGCAACUCGACUCCAUGAAGUUGGAAUCGCUAGUAAUCGUGGAUCAGCAUGCCACGGUGAAUACGUUCCCGGGCCUU
rnacentral:rRNA from 1 species